GCUGGGCACGGUGGCUCAUGCCCGUAAUCCUAGCACUUUGGGAGGCCGAGGCGGGCGGAUCACCUGAGGUCAGGAGUUCAAGACCAGCCUGGCCAACAUGGUGAAACCCCGUCUCUU
rnacentral:SRP_RNA from 2 species